GAAGGUGGGGAUGACGUCAAAUCAUCAUGCCCUUUAUGUCUUGGGCUUCACGCAUGCUACAAUGGCUGGUACAGAGAGAGGCGAACCCGUGAGGGCAAGCGAAUCCCUUAAAGCCAGUCUCAGUUCGGAUCGUAGUCUGCAAUUCGACUACGUGAAGUCGGAGUCGCUAGUAAUCGCAGAUCAGCAACGCUGCGGUGAAUACGUUCCCGGGCCUUGUACACACCGCCCGUCAAGUCACGAAAGUCGGUAACACCCGAAGCCGGUGGCCUAACCGUAAGGAGGGGGCCGUCUAAGGUGGGACUGGUGAUUGGGACUAAGUCGUAACAAGGUAGCCGUACCGGAAGGUGCGGCUGGAUCACCUCCUUUCUAAGGAG
rnacentral:rRNA from 1 species